UACGUAGGUGACGAGCGUUAUCCGGAAUUACUGGGCGUAAAGCGCUCGCAGGCGGUUCCAUGCGUCGUGCGUGAAAGACCCCGGCUCAACUGGGGAGGGUCGUGCGAUACGGUGGGACUCGAGGCCAGUAGGGGGACGCGGAAUUCCGGGUGUAGUGGUGGAAUGCGUAGAGAUCCGGAGGAACACCAGCGGCGAAGGCGGCGUCCUGGACUGGUACUGACGCUCAGGAGCGAAAGCGUGGGGAGCGAUCCGG
rnacentral:rRNA from 1 species